rnacentral:hammerhead_ribozyme from 1 species
AUCCAAACAACGAAUCCCAAGUAGGACGAAACGCGUGUCCUGGAU